rnacentral:rRNA from 1 species
AGGGUGUAAACGCUGCAGACUUGGUGUUGGAAAUCCUUCGAGGGUAUUCAGUGCCGGAGAGAAGUUGUUAAGUCUGCUACUUGGGGAGUACGUCCGCAAGGAUGAAACUUAAGGAUUGGCGGGGAGCACCGCAACGGGAGGAGCGUGCGGUUUAAUUGGAUUCAACACCGGAAAACUUCACCAGGGAAGACUGUUACAUGAAGGCCGAGAUGAAGACUCUGCUAGAUUUUCAGAGAGGAGGUGCAUGGCGUCAGUGACU